GAUGAACGCUGGCGGCGUGCCUAAUACAUGCAAGUCGAGCGAACGGACGAGAAGCUUGCUUCUCUGAUGUUAGCGGCGGACGGGUGAGUAACACGUGGAUAACCUACCUAUAAGACUGGGAUAACUUCGGGAAACCGUAGCUAAUACCGGAUAAUAUUUUGAACCGCAUGGUUCAAAAGUGAAAGACGGUCUUGCUGUCACUUAUAGAUGGAUCCGCGCUGCAUUAGCUAGUUGGUAAGGUAACGGCUUACCAAGGCAACGAUGCAUAGCCGACCUGAGAGGGUGAGCGCCCACACUGAAACUGACACACGGUCCAGACCCCGAGGGGAGGCAGAAGUAGGGAUUAGUCAGAAAGGGGCGAAAGCCGGAGGGAGCAACGCCGGGUGAGUGAGGAGGGUCUUGGGAUCUUAAACCUUUUUUAUUGGGGAGAAACAUAUGUGAAAGAAUGUCUCCACAUCUUGAGGGUACCUAAAAAAAAAGCCACGCCUAACCCCGGC
rnacentral:rRNA from 1 species